CCCAAAAUGGCGGCGUCGCCCUGAGGCCGCGCUCGGCUCCUCGCGGGGGACGGACAUAAAGUAUGUGUGUGCCCGCCGAGGGAAGUAACAACAACGAUUACUAAGGAGGUUACAACGGAGACUGAAACAGUCCAGCAAGUGGCAAACGUGCCCCAAAGUGACACAAGAUGGCGCCCAGAACCACAGGCAGAGCCAACCUGAGCAACGCCCUGACUCCCAGGUGGUGAGUUCCCAGUUGAUCUAAAAGUGAAUAAAGCUCCUGUGUGGCUGACAGACCUUCCACUCAAGCAUGGCUAUAUUGCAUUUACUUAUGUUGAGGUUAGAGUACUCUGCUGGAGUUAUAAAACCGCAUUUGUUGUGGCACUGUGAGUCAGCAGAACUCGCUGAGCAGUUCCCACUGCACAGGGCUCCAGGGCUGGUUUCACAGAAAGCGUCAUCACAGAAGCAUCAUCUGCACCUCAGCUCAGGAUUGCAGAUACUUGCAAAUUCUGGAAGAAGGCUCUGCAGUGAAGACUCAUGUUUACUUGGAACAUUUUUUCUGUGAAAGAUGUACUUUCAGGAGCACCCAUAGGAGGU